CCUACGGGAGGCAGCAGUGGGGAAUAUUGGGCAAUGGGCGCAAGCCUGACCCAGCAACGCCGCGUGAAGGAAGAAGGCUUUCGGGUUGUAAACUUCUUUUCUCAGGGACGAAGCAAGUGACGGGACCGGAGGAAUAAGCCACGGCUAACGACGGGCCAGCAGCCGCGGUAAUACGUAGGUGGCCAGCGUUAUCCGGAUUUACUGGGUGGACAGGGCGUGUAGGCGGGACUGCAAGUCAGAUGUGAAAACCACGGGCGCAACCUGUGGCCUCCAUUUGAAACUGUCGUUCUUGAGUACUGGAGCGGCAGUCGGACUUCCUAGUGUAGCGGUGAAAUGCGUCGAUAUUAGGAGGAACACCAGUGGCGAAGGCGGUCUGCUGGACAGCACCUGACGCUGAGGCGCGAACGCGUGGGGAGCAAACAGGAUUAGAUACCCGAGUAGUC
rnacentral:rRNA from 1 species